AUUGAACGCUGGCGGCAGGCCUAACACAUGCAAGUCGAACGAGUGGCGGACGGGUGAGUAAUGUCUGGGAAACUGCCUGAUGGAGGGGGAUAACUACUGGAAACGGUAGCUAAUACCGCAUACCAUCAGAUGUGCCCAGAUGGGAUUAGCUAGUUGGUGGGGUAACGGCUCACCAAGGCGACGAUCCCUAGCUGGUCUGAGAGGAUGACCAGCAACACUGGAACGGGGACACGGUCCAGACUCCUAGGGGGGGCAGCAGUGGGGAAUAUGGCACAAGGGGCGCAAGCCUGAUGCAGCCAUGCCGCGUGUAUGAAGAAGGCCUUGGGGUUGUAAAGUAUUUUCAGCGGGGAGGCGUUACCCGCAGAAGAAGCACGGGCUAACUCCGUGCAAGCAGCCGCGGUAAUC
rnacentral:rRNA from 1 species